GGAGGCGUUGGGCGGGCUGGUGCCCCUCCCGAUCUUCAAAAUCGGUGUGGUCCGGGAACCGGGCCAGGCGGGUUCGAUUCCCGUCCGCCUCCGC
rnacentral:tRNA from 2 species